rnacentral:lncRNA from 1 species
AUGCAAGGCAUGUUAUAGAACUAUCUCUCUACUAAGAGGAUAAAGAACACUCUGCAAGCAUGGUGCUAAUUGGCAUCUGAUAAUUGGCUUCAGUUUUGGGCAUGUGUGGGGCAUGGUGUGGACUGUGGAAAACUCACAAUGGAACCAUGAGAUGAGAGGCUGUGACACUGGAGGAUAAGGGAACCAGAGGAGGAAGAGGGAAGUUGACUGGAAAGUAGUAUCCCAGACUAUGUCACACACAGCACAACCUCCUUCCCAGCACAGCAGGGAACAGUAGACCCCUUCCAUCUCACGAGUUUUUUUGGCCGUCGGUAGUCAACAGUAGCUACAGCCUUGUUGAUUGGGAGUGUACGAUGUACCAGGUUCCAGCUUUGUUCAUUGAGAGUCUACGAUGUACCAGAAUGUCUUGCAAAUGAACUGACUUGGGAUCACUUAAAUGGCAAUACUGAUGGCAGGUAUGGGUUCAAAUAAACUUCUAGAAGGUAGUUUAGACA